GACGAACGCUGGCGGCGUGCCUAAUACAUGCAAGUCGAACGCAGUGGGGACGGGUGAGUAACACGUGGGUAACCUCCCAUCAGAGGGGAUAACACUUGGAAACAGGCGCAAAACCGAUACUGAUGGAUGAACCCGCGGGGGAUUAGCUAGUUGGUGAGGUAACGGCUCACCAAGGCCACGAUGCAUAGCCGACCUGGAAGGGUGAUCAGCCACACUGGGACUGGGACACUGACCAGACUCCUAGGGGAGGCAGCAGUAGGGAAUGUUGGGCAAUGGGCGAAAGUCUGACCGAGCAACGCCGCGUGAGUGAAGAAGGUUUGCGGUUCGUAAAACUCUGUUGUUAGAGAAGGGGUAUCUAACCAGAAAGCAACGGCUAACUACGUGCCAGCAGCCGCGGUAAUAC
rnacentral:rRNA from 1 species